ACGUAGGGUGCGAGCGUUAAUCGGAAUUACUGGGCGUAAAGCGUGCGCAGGCGGAUCGAUAAGCCAGACGUGAAAUCCCCGGGCUUAACCUGGGAAUGGCGUUUGUGACUGUAGGUCUAGAGUGCGGCAGAGGGGGGUGGAAUUCCACGUGUAGCAGUGAAAUGCGUAGAGAUGUGGAGGAACACCGAUGGCGAAGGCAGCCCCCUGGGAUGACACUGACGCUCAUGUACGAAAGCGUGGGUAGCAAACAG
rnacentral:rRNA from 1 species